CAGUGCCAUAGUCUUUAAAGAUACUUAGGUGUGCGCCCGAAACCGCUGCCCAUAGGGUAUGGGAGUAAUAAACACUUGAUGGAUGAGCAAUCUGCAUUAGAGACAAUCACCCUCCCAACUAAAGUCAGAGGACCAAUAGCAUAAGAAUCUGGCAUUGUGCAUAGUUAAAGAAUCCUAGCACAUCUUCUAGGCUUAACUUGCU
rnacentral:lncRNA from 1 species